rnacentral:rRNA from 1 species
CCUGGUUGAUCUGCCAGAGAGCAUAUGCCUUGUCUCAAAGAUGUAAGCCAUGCAAAGUCUAAGUACACCGACGGCUCGGUACAGAUUGAAACUGCGAAUGGCUCAUAAACAGUUAGUGGGUUCCUUUUGAUCGCUUCUAACGUUACUGUUGGAUAACUGUGGCUAAUUCCAGAGCUUAAUAACAUGCCAAACGAACGGCGUGCACCUCGGGAUCGAUGCAUUGGUAUCAGACCCAAACCCCAGUCGACGGGUGGCCCUCGGGCGCUCCGGCCGCUUUUGGUGACUCUAGAAUAACCGAGCUCCCAGAUUCGCCUGGCCCCCGUGCGGCGAGCGUCUCAUAUCGAAUGGUCUGCUCUGAUCGAACUUUCGAUGAGUAAUUACUCUCGCUGAAGUAUAUCCUCUCCUAUACCAUUGAGUGGACCGACGGUGUAACGGGGCUAAUCAGGUUCGAUUCCGGAGAGGCGAGCCUUGAGAGAAACUGGCUACACACAUCCAAGGACAGGCAGCCAGAGCGCCGGCAAAUUACCACUCCGACUUCGGGUAGGUAGCUGACGAAAAUAAAACAACUACAGGACUCUUUUCGAGGCCUUAAUUGGAAUGGAGUACACUUUAAAUCCUUUAACGAGGAUCAAUUGGAGCGGCAAGCUAUGCCGGUGCAGCAGCCGACAGGUAAUUCCAGCCCAUAGCGUUAUCUUCAACAGUUGCUGAGCUUAAAAAGCUCGUAGUUGGAGUUCGGGACGUCGAGCUGGCCGGAGGGUUUCCCGCCGCGAGCGAAGGGGCUAGAGCUACCGCCUCGUGUACCCAGCCCUGCCUCUCGGCGGCACCCCUCGAUGCUCAGCUGAGUGUCCCGCGGCGGUCGAAGCGUUAGCUUUGAAAAAGAUUUAGAGUGUUCAAGCUAGUGCCCCAGGUCGCGCUGAAUUACCGCAGCUAGGAACUAAUGGACGAAUGAGGACUCCGUUCUAUUUGGGGCUCAUUUUCUAUCUCUGAACAUGGGCCCAUGAUUUAAGAGGUGACCGGAAUACGGCGAGGGGCCAUUCUGUAUGUGCCGCUAGAGCGUGAAAAUCUGUGGGACCGGCGCAAGAGACGAAACCGGAGCGAAAGCAUCUUGCCAAGAAUGAUUCAUUAAUCAAGGAACGAAAGUCGGAGGUUACGAAGACGAUCAGAUACCUGUCGUAGUUCCGACCAUAAACGAUCGCAACUACGCGAUCCGGCGGCUGUAUUCCCCAUGACCCGCCGGGCAGCGUCCGCGGGAAACCAAGAGUCUUUGGGUUCCGGGGGGGAGUAUCGCGUUGCAAAGCCCGUGAAACUUAAACGGAUGACGGUAAAGGGCACCACCAGGCAACAAGUUGGAGGCCUGCGCUUGAAUUUGACUCAACACGGGGAAACCUCACCCGGGCCCCGGGACACGGAAAGGGAUGACAGAUGAUAGCUCUUUCUCGAUUCUGAUGGGGUGGUUGGGUUUGCAUGGCCUUUCUUAGUUGGUGGAGCGAUUGUCUGGUAAUUCCGUAACGAACGAGACUCCGGCAUGCUAACGUAGUUACACGCCGGGCCCCGUUGCGGUCGGCGUCCAACUUCCUGGUAGAGGACAAGUGGCGUUCAGCCACACGAGAAUGAGCAAUAACAGGUCUGUUGGCCCUUAGAUGUCGGGCAAGGCUGCACGCGCGCCACACUGAGUGGAUCAGCGUGGGUCUACCCUUCGCCGAGAGGCGUGGGUAACCCGUGAAACCCACUCGUGAUUAGGGAAUUGGGGAUGCAAUUAUUUCCCUAUGAACGAGGAAAUCCCAGUAACGCGAUCGCGUUACCGCGAUUUGAUUAAGUCCCUGCCCUUUGUACACACCGACCACGUCGCUACUACCGAUUAGGAGGUUUAGUGAGGUCCUCGGAAUCGGCCCCGCCGGGGUCGGAUACACAGCCCUGGCGGGAAGCGCCGAGAAGACGAUCCAAACUUGGACUAGCUAGAGAAGUAAAAGUCUAACAAGGUUUAUCCGUAGGUGAACCUUGACGAG